AGUAUACAUUUGCUAGUAACCGGAAUGGACCAGAAAAAUGGUCUAAAUCAAUAGUUCCGGGUAUUGAUCAGCCUAAGACUUUCCGGAUGUUGACGAACCUAUUUCAGAAGCACAGAAGAACUCUUUAGUUUCCUUGUAUAAUGGGAACCAAGGCUUAUGUUUUUGUUUGCAAUAUCAAACAGUUGGGAGAAUAAUGUGUAUCAUGAAUCUGUUUAAUUGAACAAAGUUGGUUUCCUUUGUCAAUUGUGUACCCAUUUCUUUCCUCUGGAGCAGAUUCGUGAAGAUAACAGUGUUCACAGUUGCUAUGACUUUAGGCUACCGUGUUCUGAUAUGUCCAUUGUGGAUUCAGACGGGUAGAGCUGUCUAAUUAAAACAAUAAGAAUAUUCAUUGUGAUUA